GACGAACGCUGGCGGCGUGCUUAACACAUGCAAGUCGAACGGUGAAGCGCCUUCCUUUUUGGUGGGUGUGGAUGAGUGGCGAACGGGUGAGUAACACGUGAGUAACCUGCCCCCUUCUUCUGGAUAACCGCAUGAAAGUGUGGCUAAUACGGGAUAUUCUGGGUCUGCCGCAUGAUGGGUCUGGGAAGGAUAUUGUUUCGGUGGGGGAUGGGCUCGCGGCCUAUCAGCUUGUUGGUGGGGUGAUGGCCUACCAAGGCGUGGGCGGGUAGCCGGCCUGAGAGGGAGUCCGGCAAGGUUGAGACUGCUAUGGGGGGCAGAAGUGGGCAAUAGGGAGCAGUGGGGGAAAGUGUGAUGCGGCGGCGCGGCGUGAGGGACGGCGGCGUGUGCGGUGUGAAGCCCUUUGGGUAGUGAAGCGGGUCUGCCUGGUAUGUGGGGGGGGUGACGGUAGCGGGUUAAGAAGCGCCGGCUAACUACGUG
rnacentral:rRNA from 1 species